rnacentral:tRNA from 1 species
UGCAAGGUGCCUGAUUAAAGGGCUGUUAUGAUGUGACAGAUAAAGAUGCUUAAUCUCUUGCAA